GGCACUAUGGCAGAGUGGUUAUUGCGUGAGCCUUGAAAGCUCAUCCCUUCGGGGUCAGCGGUUCGAAUCCGCUUGGUGUCG
rnacentral:tRNA from 13 species